GCAUGCGCAAUGAGAGCGACCAGAAUCCGGCGCUCCGCUACCGACGGGAAGCGGAAGAAACCAUUCCUCGCGGGGAGGGAAGCGUCGGCCCCGCUCCUGGAAUGGGCUCGCUGAGGCAUCUGAUCUACUUCUUGGGAAAGAUAUUGGACAAAUCCAUGAUUAGAGCCUUUGUAAUGUAAACCAUUCCUACUGUGUUGGAAUUGAUUACACACAUUUGGUGAAAGAUGAUUUGAAUGGGCUGUUACCCACAGCCAGACCUCUGAAGAUUUUUGAAUCAUCAAAAAAAGCUUUGCUUCUUAAAGGCUUGGUGACAGUUGGGAAGAGGAAUUCAUUGACUACCAGAAACAAGAAUGUCUGAACCUAGCUAUGAGUGGCAUACAUUCCCCAAACUACUAACAGGUAAUAAUACUAUUACUGAGUUUUGUCAGUAUCUGUGCCUUUUUCUUUGCUACCCAUUUUUCUCUUGAUGAGCAAAACCCAGGCAAAACGUUAUAUGAACCUUUCCAAACUUUCUUUACUCAUUUCUUAACAUGAAGUCAACCUUAUUAUCUGUGGUUCAUAGAUAAAAAUGUCUUGUGAAAGAGCUGCUCCAGUGUGAAGGCCUGUUACUGCACUGGAUGAAAGUUUUAAAGCUCAAAAAGAGAAGUGAAAUUGAGAUAAUGUAAAAAUGGUGUCAGCUCAAGUUACAGUUGUUUUGUCAUUCAUUUAACCAUGAAACAAAUUUUAUUCUUGUGAUUCAUCAACAGCUACUCCUGAAGGGACAGAUCUGUUUUGCCAAGAAAAGUAAAAUACAAAGAAUCAGGAAUUUUUAAAAUUCUAUCUGGUAAGAACUAACUUUCAUUCCUCUUAAGUGCAAUACCAAAUGGAAGUUGUUAGCAGUUUAUCUUCAUCCUGUACAAACUACAUGUAUAUGUACAUAUGUACUUUGAGGGCUGCUCUGAAAGUAAUGCUUCCUAUUUUGUUAUGCUGGCCCAUGAUGUCAGAGGCAGAUGGUGGUAUGGCAGUAGGGGUUGGACUUCCCCUCGUCACAAUUCUGUUACAUUUUGUUGCAGUGUGACACGAGGUCUGACAUGGAAGUGUGUAUGAAGCAAAGGGGUGUCACUGAAUUCCUCCACAUGGAAUAAAUGGCACCAUUCAGUGAGGCAGUGCGUGGUGUAUUUCAGCAGUGGUGACAGAGACAGCAGAUCACCUCCACUGGUGCAGAUUUUUACAAGCAUGUCAUACAGGCUCUUGUUCAUUGCUGGUGAAAAAGCAUAGCUCAUAGUGGUGACUGUGCUGAAAAAAAGUGUUUUGUAGCUGAGAAUCAAACAGUGUUAUUGUGCUCUUUGUUUCAAUUGUAGUUUCGAUGGAAAUAAAUAAAAGGCAUUACUUUCA